GUGUUUGAAGAUACCCUAAACUUAACCUAACAAAACCCCAAACAGUCACUAUAGGUCUUGACUCAGAAAAUUCAUAUAUGCUUCCUUACUAAUGAGACUUUCUAUACAACAAAGUGAGGUCAUUCUGUGUUGAUUCAUACCAUAAGGUGCUGGCUAUCAUGUGUUUGAAGAUACCCUAAACUUAACCUAACCUAACCUAACAAAACCCCAAACAGUCACUAUAGGUCUUGACCCAGAAAAUUCAUAUAUGCUUCCUUACUAAUGAGACUUUCUAUACAACAAAGUGAGGUCAUUCUGUGUUGAUUCAUACCAUAAGGUGCUGGCUAUCAUGUGUUUGAAGAUACCCUAAACUUAACCUAACCUAACCUAACAAAACCCCAAACAGUCACUAUAGGUCUUGACUCAGAAAAUUCAUAUAUGCUUCCUUACUAAUGAGACUUUCUAUACAACAAAGUGAGGUCAUUCUGUGUUGAUUCAUACCAUAAGGUGCUGGCUAUCAUGUGUUUGAAGAUACCCUAAACUUAACCUAACCUAACCUAACAAAACCCCAAACAGUCACUAUAGGUCUUGACUCAGAAAAUUCAUAUAUGCUUCCUUACUAAUGAGACUUUCUAUACAACAAAGUGAGAUCAUUCUGUGUUGAUUCAUACCAUAAGUUCCUGCCUAUCAUGUUUGAAGAUACCCUGAACCUAACCUAACAAAACCACAAACACAGAUGAUAACACUCACUCAAAUCUAGUUGUACGAAUAUAGGGCUAAAACUAUAUUAACCAUUUU